UACGGGGGGAGCAAGCGUUGUUCGGAUUUACUGGGCGUAAAGGGCGCGUAGGCGGUCGUGACAAGUCACUUGUGAAAUCUCCGGGCUUAACUGGGAGGGUGCGCCGAAAACUGGAAGGCUUGAGUAUGGGAGAGGUAAGCGGAAUUCCUGGUGUAGCGGUGAAAUGCGUAGAUAUCAGGAGGAACACCUGCGGUGUAGACGGCUUACUGGACCAUAACUGACGCUGAGGCACGAAAGCGUGGGUAGCAAACAGG
rnacentral:rRNA from 1 species